AUUGAGCGCUGGCGGCAUGCCUUACACAUGCAAGUCGAACGGUAACAGGUCUUCGGAUGCUGACGAGUGGCGAACGGGUGAGUAAUACAUCGGAACGUGCCUAGUAGUGGGGGAUAACUACUCGAAAGAGUGGCUAAUACCGCAUGAGAUCUACGGAUGAAAGCAGGGGAUCGCAAGACCUUGUGCUACUAGAGCGGCCGAUGGCAGAUUAGGUAGUUGGUGGGAUAAAAGCUUACCAAGCCGACGAUCUGUAGCUGGUCUGAGAGGACGAUCAGCCACACUGGGACUGAGACACGGCCCAGACUCCUACGGGAGGCAGCAGUGGGGAAUUUUGGACAAUGGGCGCAAGCCUGAUCCAGCAAUGCCGCGUGCAGGAUGAAGGCCUUCGGGUUGUAAACUGCUUUUGUACGGAACGAAAAGCCCUGGGUUAAUACCCCGGGGUCAUGACGGUACCGUAAGAAUAAGCACCGGCUAACUACGUGCCAGCCGCCGCCGUAA
rnacentral:rRNA from 1 species